UGUCCAAGAACUCCACUGUUGCAGGGCA
rnacentral:piRNA from 1 species